CCUACGGGAGGCAGCAGUGGGGAAUCUUGCACAAUGGAGGAAACUCUGAUGCAGCGAUGCCGCGUGAGUGAAGAAGGCCUUUGGGUUGUAAAACUCUUUUAGUAGGGAAGAUAAUGACUGUACCUACAGAAAAAGCUCCGGCUAACUCCGUGCCAGCAGCCGCGGUAAUACGGAGGGAGCUAGUGUUGUUCGGAUUUACUGGGCGUAAAGAGCGCGUAGGUGGUUAAAUAAGUUAGGAGUGAAAUCCCAGAGCUCAACUCUGGAACUGCUUCUAAAACUGUAUAACUAGAGUAUGGUAGAGGGUAAUAGAAUUCCUAGUGUAGAGGUGAAAUUCUUAGAUAUUAGGAGGAAUACCGAUUGCGAAGGCAAUUACCUGGGCCACCACUGACACGGAGGCGCGAAGGCGUGGGUAGCAAACAGGAUUAGAUACCCUGGUAGUCCACGCAGUAAACGAUGAGUGCUAGAUGUUGGGAAUUUUAUUUUCAGGAUCGCAGCUAACGCAUUAAGCACUCCGCCUGGGGAUUACGAUCGCAAGAUUAAAACUCAAAGGAAUGACGG
rnacentral:rRNA from 1 species